rnacentral:rRNA from 1 species
UACGUAGGGGGCAAGCGUUGUCCGGAAUCAUUGGGCGUAAAGCGCGCGUAGGCGGCCCGAUAAGUCCGCUGUAAAAGUCCAGGGCUCAACCCUGGAAAGCCGGUGGAUACUGUCGGGCUAGAGUCCGGAAGAGGCGAGUGGAAUUCCUGGUGUAGCGGUGGAAUGCGCAGAUAUCAGGAGGAACACCGGUGGCGAAGGCGGGUCUCUGGGCCGUAACUGACGCUGAGGAGCGAAAGCGUGGGGAGCGAACAGG